AACGAACGCUGGCGGCAUGCCUAAUACAUGCAAGUCGAACGAGAUCUUCGGAUCUAGUGGCGCACGGGUGCGUAACGCGUGGGAAUCUGCCCUUGGGUUCGGAAUAACUUCUGGAAACGGAAGCUAAUACCGGAUGAUGACGUAAGUCCAAAGAUUUAUCGCCCAAGGAUGAGCCCGCGUAGGAUUAGCUAGUUGGUGGGGUAAAGGCCCACCAAGGCGACGAUCCUUAGCUGGUCUGAGAGGAUGAUCAGCCACACUGGGACUGAGACACGGCCCAG
rnacentral:rRNA from 1 species